GCAUGGUUCCGGGAAGAAAGGUGGCCUCUCCUUGGAAGCUAUCGCUUAAGGAUGGUCCCGCGUCCCAUUAGCUUGUUGGUGGGGUAAUGGCCUACCAAGGCGACGAUGGGUAGCCGGCCUGAGAGGGUGUCCGGCCACACUGGGACUGAGAUACGGCCCAGACUCCUACGGGAGGCAGCAGUCGAGAAGCUUCGGCAAUGGGCGAAAGCCUGACCGAGCGACGCCGCGUGAGCGAUGAAGGUCCUAUGGAUUGUAAAGCUCUGUCAGAUUGGGAAGAAAACUUCGCGAUUAAUACCCGCGAAGCUUGACGGUACCAUCAGAGGAAGCACCGGCUAACUCCGUGCCAGCAGCCGCGGUAAUACGGAGGGUGCGAGCGUUGUUCGGAUUCACUGGGUAUAAAGGGUGCGUAGGCGGCCUCGUAAGUCAGGGGUGAAAUAUGACGGCUCAACCGUCAAACUGCCCCUGAAACUGCAAGGCUUGAGUCCGGGAGAGGAAGGUGGAAUUCCUGGUGUAGCGGUGAAAUGCGUAAAUAUCAGGAGGAACACCGGUGGCGAAGGCGGCCUUCUGGUCCGGUACUGACGCUGAGGCACGAAAGCUAGGGGAGCGAACAGGAUUAGAUACCCUGGUAGUCCUAGCCGUAAACGAUGGGCACUAGGUGUCGGAGGAGUCUACCCCUUCGGUGCCGCAGCUAAUGCAUUAAGUGCCCCACCUGGGGAGUACGAUCGCAAGGUUGAAACUCAAAGGAAUUGACGGGGGCCCGCACAAGCGGUGGAGCAUGUGGUUUAAUUCGAUGCAACGCGAAGAACCUUACCUGGGCUUGACAUGCAGGGGACAGGUGCAGAAAUGUACCCUUCUUCGGACCCCUGUGCAGGUGCUGCAUGGCUGUCGUCAGCUCGUGUCGUGAAAUGUUGGGUUAAGUCCCGCAACGAGCGCAACCCCUGUCUUCAGUUGCCAUCAGUUCGGCUGGGGACUCUGGAGAGACUGCCGGUGACAAACCGGAGGAAGGUGGGGACGACGUCAAGUCAUCAUGGCCCUUACGCCCAGGGCUACACACGUGCUACAAUGGUCGGUACAAUGGGCAGCAAUACCGUGAGGUGGAGCGAAUCCCAAAAAGCCGGCAUCAGUUCGGAUUGGAGUCUGCAACUCGACUCCAUGAAGUCGGAAUCGCUAGUAAUCGCGUAUCAGCAUGACGCGGUGAAUACGUUCCCGGGCCUUGUACACACCGCCC
rnacentral:rRNA from 1 species